rnacentral:rRNA from 1 species
GUGCCAGCAGCCGCGGUAAUACGUAGGUCCCGAGCGUUAUCCGGAUUUAUUGGGCGUAAAGCGAGCGCAGGCGGUUAGAUAAGUCUGAAGUUAAAGGCUGUGGCUUAACCAUAGUACGCUUUGGAAACUGUUUAACUUGAGUGCAGAAGGGGAGAGUGGAAUUCCAUGUGUAGCGGUGAAAUGCGUAGAUAUAUGGAGGAACGCCGGUGGCGAAAGCGGCUCUCUGGUCUGUAACUGACGCUGAGGCUCGAAAGCGUGGGGAGCAAACAGGAUUAGAUAC